GGGAGUUGUUCAUCUGCUGUUAGCAUCUGUAGCGCCUUUGCCAUUGUUGGUCGAAGUGAUGCUAUCUCUUGUGUACAUAGAAGUCCUACAUGCACUACUCUGAGGACAUCAUUCUUCACGUUGCUGUUAUGGUGGUGGUGCAACAUCAGAUGAUUUGACUGAAGAAAGACAGGUUAAGGUUAGAUUCCUGGAACUUACAAGUGUGACUAGGCUGUCUGUAUAUUCCGAGGUUUUGCUCCUGUUGUUCUGCCUCCCUGUGACAAUCUCCAACAAAAGCACACCAAAGCUGUAGACAUCUGCCUUUUCUGUUAACUGCCCAUGAGCCAGGUACUCUGGUGCCAUGUAUCCACUGCAGAUUUAUAAAAUUGAAAUCAUUGCUCUUUCAUAAUAUCAUGUUCAUAUAUGAAUUUCAUAUUCAAUCAUUUUAUUACAAGAUUAUUGAGCUUAAA